ACGCUGACACCUACGGGAGGAGCAGUGGGGAAUAUUGCACAAUGGGGGAAACCCUGAUGCAGCAACGCCGCGUGAAGGAAGACGGUUUUCGGAUUGUAAACUUCUGUUCUUAGUGAAGAUAGUGACGGUAGCUAAGGAGCAAGCCACGGCUAACUACGUGUCAGCAGCCGCGGUAAUCUGAGCGGGCUGGCAAGGC
rnacentral:rRNA from 1 species